UACGUAGGGUGCAAGCGUUAAUCGGAAUUACUGGGCGUAAAGCGUGCGCAGGCGGUUGUGUAAGACAGAUGUGAAAUCCCGGGCUCAACCUGGGAACUGCAUUUGUGACUGCACAGCUGGAGUGCGGCAGAGGGGGAUGGAAUUCCGCGUGUAGCAGUGAAAUGCGUAGAUAUGCGGAGGAACACCGAUGGCGAAGGCAAUCCCCUGGGCCUGCACUGACGCUCAUGCACGAAAGCGUGGGGAGCAAACAGG
rnacentral:rRNA from 1 species